UACAUUGUGAAAUACACUGCUUGUACGUCUUUAGCUGGACCGGUACCUAGCCGGACAUAAUCAACCAACCAAACAGAACACCAAACAUCUGGCCAGUGCUAUUCCCCAUUCUAUCCGCGUCCAGUGAGUUCCAGCUGAGAAAGUGAGAAGUGAAUACACUAGCACAUAUAGGCGAGGAAGCGCCAGGAUCCGCGCCGGCCGGCCGCCUUGCCCACGCUCGUUCUGGUGGCUGGCCGAGCCACGGCGAGCUUGCCAAGGGGUAGGCGCGAGGGAGCCAAGGCAGGGGAUGCAGUGCUGAGCUCUUGAAUGGGUGGUCGUGCGGCCGGCGGGGACGAGCAAGAUGGAGCUAUGGUGGCGCUCGGCGGCGGGCGCGACCGCGGCUGGUGGUAGGAUCUUGCAGCGGCGCUUGAGUGGGGGCGGAGAUGCACUGAGGAAGAGCUGCGGGUCGCCUUCCUUGAGGUUAUUUUGCCGGCGUUCAUACAGAGAUGCUACCGGCGACUUCCGAUGACAAUCCCAAAGCUGGGUGGCGACACCCCCGAGCUCCUGCCGUCGGCUACCUCUCCGUCAUGCUGCUCGUGGCCACCUCCCCGACCAGCUACUGAUGGCACAUCAAAACUAGGCGCAGACGGAGAUGUAGUAGUUGUCACUGGUGGUGGUGAUGCGCCACCUUCGGCCAUGGCCAUAGCAAGUCUCCUACAAAUUAUACAUGUUGUUAGAAAACAGAUUUUUCCCAUAAUUCUGUGCAUAUGAAAGCAAGUAGAAGGAUUACCUCCUCGUAACAGGCACAGGGCUGUCAAGAAGACUAGGAGGCAAU